CUUCAGGGAGCCCAGCCACAGCGGGCGGUCGUCGGGGCGGUUCUGGCCGUAGGCGGCGAGGAUGGCCUGGGCCUC
rfam:Streptomyces sp. RV15 genomic scaffold PRJNA299236_s001, whole genome shotgun sequence.